GUUGCUUUUCUUUUCCAUUUCUUUCAAACUUUUCUUUAUUUUCAAUGGAAUCAUUGAUUGCAAGACAUAAUCAUCUUUCAUCAUAACCUAAUGACAAAUACUGAUUGAAAUGGGAAAGGCAAGAACAUGAGUCCCAUAUUUCGUUUGUACAUGACGCUAAGAAUUUAUUCAAGAUCAAAUUUCACCAUCCCAAAGCUCCUCUACUGUCUUGAAAGGUCCCUUCUCUGAGAUGUAGUCUUCUCCUCGACAUCCUCUACUUUGAGGAAUCUCACUGAUCUGUUUGCUUUCUUCCUCGCUCAAUGUCCAGUUAAUUAUGUCGAGGUUCUGUUUCAUCCUCUCCUUGUUAAAACUUUUCACCAACACACAGGUCCCUUGCUCAUAUGCCCACCUAAGGCACAUCUGAAAAUUUUGUUAGAGAAAAUGAAUUUGCUGUUAGGUUUCAAUUCAUUGAAAUUGCAGAACAAAUAUAAGAUAAUAGAUAUGAAAAAAAUUCUUGUCAAGCACAUGGAAUUAGACUACGAAUUCAGGAUUUUCUUUAUUUUUGUCUUUAGCACUAAAAAGAAAUAAGAACAACUAAAGGUUGAGAGAAGGCAAGGCAGUGUUAAGCACCUGAGCAACACUCUUUCUUUUGGCACUUGCAAUCUGAAUAAGCGUUUCGUUCUCCAUCACCCUGUUGCUACCCCAAAUGGUUCCCCUGGCUCCUAGAGAAGCAUAAGCUGUCAACACUAUUCCAUUUUCCUUACAGAACUCCAGCAGCUUCUUUUGUUGCCAUAGCGGGUUUAUCUCUACCUUCAAGAUCCCAACUUCUUUCAUUUCCAAUUACAAACCCCACAAAAUCAAAAAUGACUUUGCAAGAAAAUAAAUAAAUAAACUGGAAAACUUACUUGAUUAACAGCUGGAGGAAUCUCUGCUAUGGAAAGGAUUUCCGAGAGUUUCUUACAGGAAAAAUUGCUGACACCAAUUGAUUUGGUGAGUCCAAUUUUCUGGCACUCUUCCAUAGCUCUCCAUACUCCUUUAAAAUCCAUGGGUAAAAAAUCCUCUUGCCUUAUUGGGAACUCGAAGGUCCCUGGCCUCGAGCUCACGGGCCAAUGGAUCAGAUAAAGAUCAAUGUACUUCAACUGAAGAGCCCUGCACAAGCAUAAAUGCAUGUUAAAAAAUCAAAAAUAGAAGAUUAUCUUUGUUUUGAUGGGCUUGAGAAAUGAAGAAAUUGCUGCAGUACUGGAGACUCUUUUGAAGGGCCGGCAGAACGAGAUCGCUAUGAGCAUUGCUGCACCAAAGCUUUGAGGUAAUAAAGAGUUCCUCUCGGGAUUUAAUCAAGCCACGAGAAAGUGCUUCGACAAUGGCUUCGCCUAGAGGCUCCUCUGUCAGGUAGAGUGCGGCUGUAUCAAAAUGUCUGUAACCAAGCUCAAUAGCUUGAAUAAUCGCUGCUUUAGUUUCUUCUGGUGGCACUGGAGGAGAAGUUGCUGUGCCCAUCCCCAGUAGUGGCAUUCUCCGGCUGCUAGAGCUAAGAACCACUUCUGGGAUGCUGAUUGAUGAAUUGGUAUCCAUCUUUCGAUCUCCAGCAGUAAGUAAUAGAUUUUCUGUAAGAAAAUUUCAGUCUUCAAACUUGAUUGUAUUUUUUUUGUUUGAGUAAUGCCUUGUCUGCAAUUUGCAAAUUAUGCUAUUCUUUUGGGUAAAUGAGAGAACCCUAGCCGCAUUCUU
rnacentral:misc_RNA from 1 species